CUCCCCUCAACCCUCGGUGUUUCUCUUUCUCCACAGUCCCUUUGUAUUUCUCUAAAUCUCCCCAGCACCUUUGUGUGACUAUUAAUCACUACAGUCCCUUUAUGUGUCUCUUUCUCCCCUUCUCCAGUCCCCUUGUAGAAGGGGAGCUGUUUUCACACUCGUUUGAUGAAUAAGUAAGUCUUAAUGUGCUGCUAGUUGCAUUAAGAUUAGGACUGAUGCAAUGUUUGCUGUUGGAGAGAAUAUCUU